rnacentral:rRNA from 1 species
AGUGAACGCUGGCGGUAGGCCUAACACAUGCAAGUCGAACGGCAGCACAGGAGAGCUUGCUCUCUGGGUGGCGAGUGGCGGACGGGUGAGGAAUACAUCGGAAUCUACUCUGUCGUGGGGGAUAACGUAGGGAAACUUACGCUAAUACCGCAUACGACCUACGGGUGAAAGCAGGGGACCUUCGGGCCUUGCGCGAUUGAAUGAGCCGAUGUCGGAUUAGCUAGUUGGCGGGGUAAAGGCCCACCAAGGCGACGAUGCGUAGCUGGUCUGGGAAGAUGAUCGGCACAACUGGAACUGGGACACGGACCAGAAUCCUACGGGAGGCAGCAGUGGGGAAUAUUGGACAAUGGGGGCAAGCCUGAUCCAGCCAUACCGCGUGGGUGAAGAAGGCCUUCGGGUUGUAAAGCCCUUUUGUUGGGAAAGAAAUCCAGCUGGCUAAUACCCGGUUGGGAUGACGGUACCCAAAGAAUAAGCACCGGCUAACUUCGUGCCAGCCGCCGCCGUAA